AGUCACUGACAUUAGAUACCCCCGUAGUCCCAGCCGUAAACGAUGCGCGUUAGGUGUAUCGACGACCACGAGUCGUCGAGGUGCCGAAGGGAAACCGUGAAACGUGCCGCCUGGGAAGUACGGUCGCAAGGCUGAAACUUAAAGGAAUUGGCGGGGAGCACCACAACAGGUGGAGCCUGCGGUUUAAUUGGAUUCAACGCCGGACAUCUCACCGGAUAAGACAGCUGAAUGAUUGUCAAUCUGAAGGUUUUACAUGACUAGCUG
rnacentral:rRNA from 1 species